rnacentral:rRNA from 1 species
CUACGGGUGGCUGCAGUAAGGAAUAUUGGGCAAUGGAGGAAACUCUGACCCAGCCAUGCCGCGUGGAGGAUGAAGGUCCUCUGGAUUGUAAACUUCUUUUAUAUGGGACGAAAAAAGGGUUUUCUAACUCGUCUGACGGUACCAUAUGAAUAAGCACCGGCUAACUCCGUGCCAGCAGCCGCGGUAAUACGGAGGGUGCAAGCGUUAUCCGGAUUCACUGGGUUUAAAGGGUGCGUAGGUGGAUUGAUAAGUCAGUGGUGAAAUCCCCGAGCUUAACUUGGGAACUGCCAUUGAUACUAUUAGUCUUGAAUACUGUGGAGGUCGGCGGAAUAUGUCAUGUAGCGGUGAAAUGCUUAGAUAUGACAUAGAACACCAAUUGCGAAGGCAGCUGGCUACACAAAUAUUGACACUGAGGCACGAAAGCGUGGGGAUCAAACAGGAUUAGAUACCCGCGUAGUC